UUAAGCGACUAAGCGUACACGGUGGAUGCCCUGGCAGUCAGAGGCGAUGAAGGACGUGCUAAUCUGCGAAAAGCGUCGGUAAGGUGAUAUGAACCGUUAUANCACUAUCGUUAACUGAAUACAUAGGUUAACGAGGCGAACCGGGGGAACUGAAACAUCUAAGUACCCCGAGGAAAAGAAAUCAACCGAGAUUCCCCCAGUAGCGGCGAGCGAACGGGGAGCAGCCCAGAGUCUGAAUCAGCUUGUGUGUUAGUGGAACGGUCUGGAAAGUCCGACGGUACAGGGUGAUAGUCCCGUACACCAAAAUGCACAGGCUGUGAACUCGAAGAGUAGGGCGGGACACGUGGUAUCCUGUCUGAAUAUGGGGGGACCAUCCUCCAAGGCUAAAUACUCCUGACUGACCGAUAGUGAACCAGUACCGUGAGGGAAAGGCGAAAAGAACCCCGGCGAGGGGAGUGAAAAAGAACCUGAAACCGUGUACGUACAAGCAGUGGGAGCACCUUCGGGUGUGACUGCGUACCUUUUGUAUAAUGGGUCAGCGACUUAUAUUCUGUAGCAAGGUUAACCGUAUAGGGGAGCCGCAGGGAAACCGAGUCUUAACUGGGCGUUAAGUUGCAGGGUAUAGACCCGAAACCCGGUGAUCUAGCCAUGGGCAGGUUGAAGGUUGGGUAACACUAACUGGAGGACCGAACCGACUAAUGUUGAAAAAUUAGCGGAUGACUUGUGGCUGGGGGUGAAAGGCCAAUCAAACCGGGAGAUAGCUGGUUCUCCCCGAAAGCUAUUUAGGUAGCGCCUCGUGAACUCAUCUUCGGGGGUAGAGCACUGUUUCGGCUAGGGGGUCAUCCCGACUUACCAACCCGAUGCAAACUACGAAUACCGAAGAAUGUUAUCACGGGAGACACACGGCGGGUGCUAACGUCCGUCGUGAAGAGGGAAACAACCCAGACCGCCAGCUAAGGUCCCAAAGUCAUGGUUAAGUGGGAAACGAUGUGGGAAGGCACAGACAGCCAGGAUGUUGGCUUAGAAGCAGCCAUCAUUUAAAGAAAGCGUAAUAGCUCACUGGUCGAGUCGGCCUGCGCGGAAGAUGUAACGGGGCUAAACCAUGCACCGAAGCUGCGGCAGCGACACUAUGUGUUGUUGGGUAGGGGAGCGUUCUGUAAGCCUGCGAAGGUGACCUGUGAGGGUUGCUGGAGGUAUCAGAAGUGCGAAUGCUGACAUAAGUAACGAUAAAGCGGGUGAAAAGCCCGCUCGCCGGAAGACCAAGGGUUCCUGUCCAACGUUAAUCGGGGCAGGGUGAGUCGACCCCUAAGGCGAGGCCGAAAGGCGUAGUCGAUGGGAAACAGGUUAAUAUUCCUGUACUUGGUGUUACUGCGAAGGGGGGACGGAGAAGGCUAUGUUAGCCGGGCGACGGUUGUCCCGGUUUAAGCAUGUAGGCUGAUUGUCCAGGCAAAUCCGGAUAAUCAAGGCUGAGGUGUGAUGACGAGGCACUACGGUGCUGAAGUAACAAAUGCCCUGCUUCCAGGAAAAGCCUCUAAGCAUCAGGUAACAUCAAAUCGUACCCCAAACCGACACAGGUGGUCAGGUAGAGAAUACCAAGGCGCUUGAGAGAACUCGGGUGAAGGAACUAGGCAAAAUGGUGCCGUAACUUCGGGAGAAGGCACGCUGGUGUGUAGGUGAAGNUGGAGCUGAGACCAGUCGAAGAUACCAGCUGGCUGCAACUGUUUAUUAAAAACACAGCACUGUGCAAACACGAAAGUGGACGUAUACGGUGUGACGCCUGCCCGGUGCCGGAAGGUUAAUUGAUGGGGUUAUCCGUAAGGAGAAGCUCUUGAUCGAAGCCCCGGUAAACGGCGGCCGUAACUAUAACGGUCCUAAGGUAGCGAAAUUCCUUGUCGGGUAAGUUCCGACCUGCACGAAUGGCGUAAUGAUGGCCAGGCUGUCUCCACCCGAGACUCAGUGAAAUUGAACUCGCUGUGAAGAUGCAGUGUACCCGCGGCAAGACGGAAAGACCCCGUGAACCUUUACUAUAGCUUGACACUGAACAUUGAGCCUUGAUGUGUAGGAUAGGUGGGAGGCUUUGAAGCGUGGACGCCAGUCUGCGUGGAGCCAACCUUGAAAUACCACCCUUUAAUGUUUGAUGUUCUAACGUUGGCCCCUGACCGGGGUUGCGGACAGUGUCUGGUGGGUAGUUUGACUGGGGCGGUCUCCUCCCAAAGCGUAACGGAGGAGCACGAAGGUUAGCUAAUCCUGGUCGGACAUCAGGAGGUUAGUGCAAUGGCAUAAGCUAGCUUGACUGCGAGCGUGACGGCGCGAGCAGGUGCGAAAGCAGGUCAUAGUGAUCCGGUGGUUCUGAAUGGAAGGGCCAUCGCUCAACGGAUAAAAGGUACUCCGGGGAUAACAGGCUGAUACCGCCCAAGAGUUCAUAUCGACGGCGGUGUUUGGCACCUCGAUGUCGGCUCAUCACAUCCUGGGGCUGAAGUAGGUCCCAAGGGUAUGGCUGUUCGCCAUUUAAAGUGGUACGCGAGCUGGGUUUAGAACGUCGUGAGACAGUUCGGUCCCUAUCUGCCGUGGGCGCUGGAGAAUUGAGGGGGGCUGCUCCUAGUACGAGAGGACCGGAGUGGACGCAUCACUGGUGUUCGGGUUGUCAUGCCAAUGGCACUGCCCGGUAGCUAAAUGCGGAAGAGAUAAGUGCUGAAAGCAUCUAAGCACGAAACUUGCCCCGAGAUGAGUUCUCCCUGAGACUUUAAGUCUCCUGAAGGAACGUUNGACGUUGAUAGGCCGGGUGUGUAAGCGCAGCGAUGCGUUGAGCUAACCGGUACUAAUGAACCGUGAGGCUUAACCUU
rnacentral:rRNA from 1 species